AUUCUUCCAUGUUCAGUGCCACCUCAGGGAGCAGAAAUGUAGAAAAUGUUGCCUGUAGCUGUAAAUCUCAGGGGGAGGGACUGAAAAGCACAAAUAACAGUUAAAUAAAUCGUUCAUGGCCACCACCCAUUCUGUGCACAAGGAUUUGGGGAGAAGUGUAGAUCAGCUUGCUUUAUUUUUUUUUCCUGCUUUGGAAGCAGAGCACUAUUAUAGCAACCAACUCUCUGGGGCUUUCUCCAGGCUCAGCAUCGUGGCAGGCUCAACUAUGCUUAUACAUCUGUUGCCAAAAAGCAAAUAUUUGGAGGAGGGAGAGGAUGUAGCCAAGGAUACACAAGGAUAGCACAUACAGAAGA